rnacentral:tRNA from 1 species
GGGAGGGUGGUCUAGCUUGGUAUGAUACAAUCGCUCAAGUAUAUUGAGUAUAUCAAAUUGGCUGGGGGCCAAGUGGCCGGGGGUUCGAAUCCCUCCCCUCCCA